UUGACCUCGGAUCAGGUAGGAAUACCCGCUGAACUUAAGCAUAUCAAUCCUCCGCUUA
rnacentral:rRNA from 1 species